GCGGUCCUUCUGUGGCGCCAUCUGGGGCCCGACUCCUGCGUGGCGCUCAGGGGCGUCUUGGAGUCCCUGGCCGAAGAGUCUUCGCUGACCCCACACGUCAGGUCAGGUCACUCGAAGCUCAUCCUCCCGCAUGCAGUAUCGCCUCUUCAGUGACCUUUUCGAAGUGACCUGACCUUUCCGAUAUUUUUUUCUUGAGAUGUUUAGGUUAUGCAAAGUCGAUGGAAGAUUGUUACUGUAAUGCAUAUCCAGAGGCGAGAGAGAGAGAGAGAGAGAGAGAGAGAGAGAGAGAGAGAGAGAGAGAGAGAGAGAGAGAGAGAGAGAGAGA